rnacentral:misc_RNA from 1 species
GGGCCCGGGGCGCUCGUUGUGGCAAGGAUAUUGGAUUUUGGAUAGCUCAAUUUAUGAGCCAGGGUAGGGUGGAACAUGACUCGUCUUCUAUUAUCUGUCCGGUCAAAGAUGACGAAGUUCUUGGGGCAGUUUUCAUACGGUUGGAACUCGAAUCUAUCAAGAAGAGACGGAACUUCUUGAUUCCCUUCAAGAGCAAGGCCAACAGCAGG